rnacentral:rRNA from 1 species
GGAACCUGCGGAAGGAUCAUUACCGAGUGAGGGCCCUCUGGGUCCAACCUCCCACCCGUGUUUAUUCUACCUUGUUGCUUCGGCGGGCCCGCCUCACGGCCGCCGGGGGGCAUCCGCCCCCGGGCCCGCGCCCGCCGAAGACACCAUUGAACUCUGUCUGAAGAUUGCAGUCUGAGCAGAUUAGCUAAAUCAGUUAAAACUUUCAACAACGGAUCUCUUGGUUCCGGCAUCGAUGAAGAACGCAGCGAAAUGCGAUAAGUAAUGUGAAUUGCAGAAUUCAGUGAAUCAUCGAGUCUUUGAACGCACAUUGCGCCCCCUGGUAUUCCGGGGGGCAUGCCUGUCCGAGCGUCAUUGCUGCCCUCAAGCACGGCUUGUGUGUUGGGCUUCGCCCCCCGGCUCCCGGGGGGCGGGCCCGAAAGGCAGCGGCGGCACCGCGUCCGGUCCUCGAGCGUAUGGGGCUUCGUCACCCGCUCUGUAGGCCCGGCCGGCGCCCGCCGGCGACCCCAAUCAAUCUUUUCAGGUUGACCUCGGAUCAGGUAGGGAUACCCGCUGAACUUAAGCAUAUCAAUAAGCGGAGGAA